GACGAACGCUGGCGGCGUGCUUAACACAUGCAAGUCGAACGGAAAGGCCCUGCUUUUGUGGGGUGCUCGAGUGGCGAACGGGUGAGUAACACGUGAGUAACCUGCCCUUGACUUUGGGAUAACUUCAGGAAACUGGGGCUAAUACCGGAUAGGAGCUCCUGCUGCAUGGUGGGGGUUGGAAAGUUUCGGCGGUUGGGGAUGGACUCGCGGCUUAUCAGCUUGUUGGUGGGGUAGUGGCUUACCAAGGCUUUGACGGGUAGCCGGCCUGAGAGGGUGACCGGCCACAUUGGGACUGAGAUACGGCCCGGACUCCUACGGGAGGCAGCAGUGGGGAAUAUUGCACAAUGGGCGGAAGCCUGAUGCAGCAACGCCGCGUGCGGGAUGACGGCCUUCGGGUUGUAAACCGCUUUCGCCUGUGACGAAGCGUGAGUGACGGUAAUGGGUACAGAAGCACCGGCUAACUACGUG
rnacentral:rRNA from 1 species